CGAAAUCUACCAUUUAGAUGGAGCCUAGGAGCUGGGAAAGUGAGCAGAACAGAAGAUCCUUACUCAUCCGCAAAGCUAAUUUCGUUCGUUCCGGGUUCUUCUUCUCCUCUCUUCGAGUGCAAUUAGUGGUUUGCUUAGAGUAGGGCUAUGCUCCGGCACCGGAUUUUCUAGGGAUUCCUUUUCUUCGCCUAACAUUUUGCCCCAACCCUAAAUUUUCCACCGUCAAGAUAGUAGCCGGAACUGCGGUAUCAAUUUUUCUUUCCUCUGUGUUAAUUACUAACACAUACUCCAUGUUUUAGGCCAUAAGGACACAGUACGCCUGCGAUUCUAUGCAUAUAUGUAAGGUGUAACUGGAAAGCGAACUUCUCGUCUCCCUACGGAAGAUGGAUAAUGAGGUAAUCGAGUUUGAUAUAGGCUUAGGAGGUGGAGGUGGGAGCGAGGACGGGGAUGGAGAUGAUGUUCUUGACGAGGAGAAUGUCGCCAACUGUUCUCCUGUUAUUGAUGGAAAUGUUGCAAUAGUUCGAAGUUACUCUCCUCAAGGGGACCUCGAUCUUGAACCAUAUGAGGGCAUGGAAUUUGAAUCUGAGGAGGCUGCCAAGGCGUUUUAUAACUCCUACGCACGCCGUGUUGGCUUCAGCACCCGCGUCAGCUCCUCCCGUCGGUCCAGGAAGGAUGGAGCCAUCAUUCAAAGGUCGUUUGUCUGUGCCAAAGAAGGAUUCCGCAAUUUGAAUGAGAAACGUACCAAGGAUAGAGAAAUUAAGCGACCACGUACUGUCACCCGGGUUGGCUGCAAGGCCGCUCUAUCUGUCAAGAUACAGGACUCUGGUAUGUGGGUGGUCUCUAACUUUGUCAAGGAGCACAAUCACGAGCUGGUUCCCCCUGAUCAGGUCCACUGUCUCCGUUCCCAUCGUCAAAUUUCUGGUCCUGCCAAAACCCUAAUAGAUACCUUGCAGGCUGCUGGUAUGGGUCCCCGCAGGAUUAUGUCUGCCCUCAUUAAAGAGUAUGGUGGUAUUAGCAAAGUUGGUUUCACAGAGGUAGAUUGUCGUAAUUACAUGCGGAACAACCGUCAAAGGAGCUUGGAAGGAGACAUACAGCUCCUCUUAGACUACCUGAAACAAAUGAAUAUCCAGAACCCUGGAUUCUUCUAUGCAGUUCAGGGUGAUGAGGGCCAGUGCACAGGGAAUGUCUUCUGGGCUGACUCUAAGGCAAGAGCAAAUUAUAACUAUUUUGGUGAUACUGUUACAUUUGAUACAACUUAUAGGUCAAAUAGGUACCGGUUACCCUUUGCACCCUUUACUGGAGUAAAUCAUCAUGGACAACCUGUUCUCUUUGGAUGUGCUUUCCUAAUAAAUGAAUCAGAAGCCUCAUUCAUAUGGCUUUUUAAGACAUGGCUUGCAGCUAUGUCUGGUCAACCUCCCUUGUCAAUGACAACAGACCAUGAUGCUGUAAUUAGGUCUGCCAUCAUGCAGGUUUUCCCUGAGACCCGUCACCGUUUCUGCAAAUGGCACAUCUUCAAGAAAUGCCAGGAAAAGUUGUCACAUGUCUUCCUUGAGCACCCAAAUUUUGAAGCAGACUUCCACAAAUGUGUCAAUUUGAUAGAGUCUACUGAGGAAUUUGAAUCCUGUUGGCUUUCUCUUGUUGAAAAGUAUGAGCUCAGGGAUCAUGACUGGCUUCAAGUGAUAUACUUAGAUCGCAGACAAUGGGUGCAAGUAUAUCUCCGUGAUGCUUUUUUUGCAGAAAUGUCCAUAACUCAGCGUAGUGAUAGCAUGAACUCAUAUUUUGAUGGUUAUGUGAAUGCGUCAACUAAUCUAAAUCAGUUCUUCAAAUUGUAUGAGAAAGCUGUGGAGAGCCGUACUGAGAAAGAAAUCAAAGCUGAUUAUGAUACGAUGAAUACAUUUCCAGUUUUGAAGACCCCUUCUCCAAUGGAGAAGCAAGCUUCCGAGGUUUACACGAAAAAGUUAUUUAUGAGAUUUCAGGAGGAGUUGGUUGCCACUCUAACUUUCAUGGCGAACAAAGUUGAGGAUGAUGGACUAGUUACCACUUAUCAAGUUGCUAAAUUUGGGGAUGACCACAGUGCUUACUAUGUAAGAUUUAAUGUUUUAGAAAUGAAAGCUACUUGUAGCUGCCAGAUGUUUGAGUUCUCAGGACUUCUUUGUCGACACGUUUUAGCAGUGUUCAGAGUGACAAAUGUUCUGACUCUUCCUUCUCAUUACAUCCUCAAACGAUGGAGCCGAAGUGCCAAGAGCAGUGUUGCAUUGGAAGACCGUGUUGCUGAUGUAAUCAAUUAUUAUUUGGAAUCACAUACUGUUCGAUAUAAUAUGCUGAGACAUGAAGCGUUUAAGUUUGUGGAGGAAGGGGGAGAGACUGUUGAUUCUUAUACUGUGGCAAUGGCUGCUCUGGAGGAGGCUUCAAAGAAGAUUUUCCUAGCAGUAAAGCAUGAUGGGAGGAUAUCUUUAGUAAAUGGACAUUGUCGAGAAAACUUGACUAGAAAUGGGGUCCAUGCAAAUUACAACAGUUCGGAUGAACAAAGAAGUCUCGCAUGUCCACUCUCUGAGAUUAACAACACAUCCUUAUUGCUAUUUUAUUUACAAGAUUUCUUUACCUUCACAAAAGAAAAGGAAAAAGAAACUGAAAGAUAAAGUUAUCUGUAACUUCCUCAAAGAAUCUGGAGAUGACGUAAAUCACCUCCUAUUACAUUGUUGGUUAGCAUCCACUUUGUGGGGGUGGGGGGAUUCUGAGAUGGCUUGGAGUUGAGUGGGUGAUGCUGCACAAUGUGAAAGACUUAAUGGCAAGUCUCGACAUUAAAGACUUAUCAGUUUUCAACAAAACUUUGCUGGGCAAAUGGCUUUGGCAAUUCGGGAUGUAGGUUCAAGGUUUUUGGAGAGAGAUGAUAGUUGAUAAAUAUGGGUUUAUAGAAGUGGGAUGGAGAACUAGAGUUGUCAUAUGCCUAUUGGGUGUGGCUUGUGGAGGAAUAUAUUGAAGGGAUGAGAUGACUUAGUGCUAACAUAUCAUUCAAGGUAGGAAAUGGAAGGAUGGUUAGUUUCUGGGGAUAAAGGUGGUGUGGGGAGAUAUUACUGAAAGAUAAUUUUCAGAUUUUGUUCAGAAAAUCACGUCAAUGAAACUUGACGGUACAUCUAAUAGGGGGACACAAGGAGGACAAAACUUUUGGGAUUUGAGAUUAAGAAGGGAUUUCCAUGAUUGGGAGGUAAAUGAGUUCCAAAGUUUGAUUGCCCUACUUCAUAGGCUAGGUAUUCCGGUUAAUAAUCGUGAUGCUUUGUGGUGGGAUUUUGGGAAUAAUAGAGUUUUCUUUGUUAAAUCUUCUUAUGAGAAACUUCUGAUUAGGGAGGAGGUGAUUUUUGUACAAUGCAGUAUGGACUCCACAGGUGCCGAGGAUGUGUGCCUUUUCUCUUGGCUAGUUACUAGCGGGGUGAUCUUGACAACGGAAAAAUUUGAGAAAGCGGAAGAUUGUUUGCAUCACUUGGUGUUUCAUGUGCAAGGAAGAGGGAUGACAUGGAUACGAAGAUCCAGGAGCUUUCUUAUCAACUGGAUUGUGCCAAUCAGAAUUGUGAAGUUUAUCGUGCAAAU